CCUACGGGAGGCAGCAGUGGGGAAUAUUGGGCAAUGGGGGGAACCCUGAUCCAGCAAUGCCGCGUGAGUGAUGAAGGCCUUAGGGUUGUAAAGCUCUUUUACCAGGGAUGAUAAUGACAGUACCUGGAGAAUAAGCUCCGGCUAACUCCGUGCCAGCAGCCGCGGUAAUACGGAGGGAGCUAGCGUUGUUCGGAAUUACUGGGCGUAAAGCGCACGUAGGCGGUUACUCAAGUCAGAGGUGAAAGCCCGGGGCUCAACCCCGGAACUGCCUUUGAAACUAGGUAACUAGAAUCCUGGAGAGGUGAGUGGAAUUCCGAGUGUAGAGGUGAAAUUCGUAGAUAUUCGGAAGAACACCAGUGGCGAAGGCGGCUCACUGGACAGGUAUUGACGCUGAGGUGCGAAAGCGUGGGGAGCAAACAGGGUUAGAUACCCUGGUAGUCCACGCCGUAAACGAUGAUAACUAGCUGUCCGGGCACAUGGUGUUUGGGUGGCGCAGCUAACGCAUUAAGUUAUCCGCCUGGGGAGUACGGUCGCAAGNUUAAAACUCAAAGGAAUUGACCGGNGUGAGAGUUGCGAGACGACGACGAGGAGAG
rnacentral:rRNA from 1 species